rnacentral:rRNA from 1 species
UACGGGAGGCAGCAGUGGGGAAUAUUGCACAAUGGGCGCAAGCCUGAUGCAGCCAUGCCGCGUGUAUGAAGAAGGCCUUCGGGUUGUAAAGUACUUUCAGUCGUGAGGAAGGUGUUAAGGUUAAUAACCUUAGCAAUUGACGUUAGCGACAGAAGAAGCACCGGCUAACUCCGUGCCAGCAGCCGCGGUAAUACGGAGGGUGCGAGCGUUAAUCGGAAUUACUGGGCGUAAAGGGCACGCAGGCGGUUAAUUAAGUUGGAUGUGAAAUCCCCGGGCUUAACCUGGGAAUGGCAUUCAAGACUGGUUAGCUAGAGUCUUGUAGAGGGGGUAGAAUUCCAUGUGUAGCGGUGAAAUGCGUAGAGAUGUGGAGGAAUCCGGUGGCGAAGGCGGCCCCUGGACAAAGACUGACGCUCAUGUGCGAAAGCGUGGGGAGCGAAACAGGGAUUAGAUACC